UGGAGAGGUGACAGAGCGGCCGAUUGUGCACGAUUGGAAAUCGUGUGGGCCCCAAAAGGGUCCCGCGGGUUCGAAUCCCGCCCUCUCCGU
rnacentral:tRNA from 1 species